rnacentral:rRNA from 1 species
AUUGAACGCUGGCGGCAGGCCUAACACAUGCAAGUCGAGCGAGCGGCGGACGGGUGAGUACUGUAUGGGGACUGCCCGAUAGAGGGGGCUAACUACUGGAAACGGUAGCUACUACCGCAUACUAUCGGAUAACCCAUAUGGAAUUAGCUAGUAGGUGAGGUACUGGCUCACCUAGGCGACGAUCCCUAGCUGGUCUGAGAGGAUGAUCAGCCACACUGGGACUGAGACACGGCCCAGACUCCUACGGAGGCAGCAGUGGGGAAUAUUGCACAAUGGGCGCAAGCCUGAUACAGCCAUGCCGCGUGUAUGAAGAAGGCCCUAGGGUUGUAAAGUACUUUCAGUCGGGAGGCGUUACCGACAGAAGAAGCACCGGCUAACUCCGUGCCAGCAGCCGCGGUAAUUC